rnacentral:rRNA from 1 species
UGGGGAAUUUUGGACAAUGGGCGAAAGCCUGAUCCAGCAAUGCCGCGUGUGUGAAGAAGGCCUUCGGGUUGUAAAGCACUUUUGUCCGGAAAGAAAUCCUUGGCUCUAAUACAGUCGGGGGAUGACGGUACCGGAAGAAUAAGCACCGGCUAACUACGUGCCAGCAGCCGCGGUAAUACGUAGGGUGCAAGCGUUAAUCGGAAUUACUGGGCGUAAAGCGUGCGCAGGCGGUUUGCUAAGACCGAUGUGAAAUCCCCGGGCUCAACCUGGGAACUGCAUUGGUGACUGGCAGGCUAGAGUAUGGCAGAGGGGGGUAGAAUUCCACGUGUAGCAGUGAAAUGCGUAGAGAUGUGGAGGAAUACCGAUGGCGAAGGCGAGCCCCUGGCCAAUACUGACGCUCAUGCACGAAAGCGUGGGGGAGCAAAACAGGAUUAGAUACCCUGGUAGUCCACGCCCUAAAACGAUGUCAACUAGUUGUUGGGGAUUCAUUUCCUUAGUAACGUAGCUAACGCGUGAAGUUGACCGCCUGGGGAGUACGGUCGCAAGAUUAAAACUUAAAUGAAUUGACGGGGUCAUAGCUG